UGGAUUAAUUCGAUGCAACGCGAAGAACCUUACUACCCUUGACAUGUCCGGAACUUGCCAGAGAUGGCUUGGUGCCCGAAAGGGAAUCGGAACACAGGUGCUGCAUGGCUGUCGUCAGCUCGUGUCGUGAGAUGUUGGGUUAAGUCCCGCAACGAGCGCAACCCUUAUCAUUAGUUGCUACGCAAGGGCACUCUAAUGAGACUGCCGGUGACAAACCGGAGGAAGGUGGGGAUGACGUCAAGUCCUCAUGGCCCUUAUGGGUAGGGCUUCACACGUCAUACAAUGGUCGGUACAGAGGGUUGCCAAGCCGCGAGGCGGAGCCAAUCCCACAAAGCCGAUCGUAGUCCGGAUUGUUCUCUGCAACUCGAGAGCAUGAAGUCGGAAUCGCUAGUAAUCGCAGGUCAGCAUACUGCGGUGAAUACGUUCCCGGGUCUU
rnacentral:rRNA from 1 species